GGCUCGUUGGUCUAGGGAUACGAUUUCCGCUUAUGGUGCCGGAGGUCCCGGGUUCAAAUCCCGGACGAGCCC